rnacentral:rRNA from 1 species
GCACCGCAGGCAAGAACAACGGGUGCAUAUUCCAAUAGCGGAGGAAAAGAAUUCCUCUGUUCCGUCAGAUAACGGCGAGUGAAGCGGCAAGAGCUCAAAUUUGAAAGCCCUCGGGCGUUGUAAUUUGGAGAGGCGGAUCUUGGGGCGGGUGGUGUCUAUGUCUGCUGGAACGCAGCGUCACAGAGGGUGAGAAUCCCGUGCGACACCGGCCUCAACCAGAUAAGACCGUCUCGAAGAGUCGAGUUGUUUGGGAAUGCAGCUCUAAGCGGGAGGUAUAUUUCUUCUAAAGCUAAAUAGUGGCGAGAGACCGAUAGCGAACAAGUACAGUGAUGGAAAGAUGAAAAGCACUUUGAAAAGAGAGUGAAACAGUACGUGAAAUUGUUGAAAGGGAAGGGUAUGCAAUCAGAGCAGCCAGCAUGAGUUUUGGCGGCGCGAGAAUGGCGCGGGAACGUAGCUUCGGUGUUAUAGCCCGCGCUGAUGGCGCCUGCCGGGACUGAGGGCCGCGGUUCUAGGAUGCUGGCAUAAUGAUUGUCUACCACCCGUCUUGAACACCGGACCAACCAAACUAUUCCCACCCAUAUUACCGCUGUUU